UGUUCCCAAACCUUUGCUGAUAGAUGUGUUUUAUGUAACAGUUACAGAGUCCAUUAACACGAAGGACUGAAACACAGAAAGAAACUGCACAGAUUUAUAAGCAUGUGCAGUGCCCUCACCAGAGAGAGACACCAGAAAUAAUAAAUCCAAAGUCAAAGGAAUAUUCUUGAAGCUACCAUUACAGAUUUAUCUACUUCAAAACCUGUUUCGUGGGAUUGAAUCAUACGAUAUAUUACAUUUAAAAGGUUGAAAACAUCACACAGUAGUUUUAAGUUCAGGAACUAAACACUGAACUUGAAAAGAGAGCAUGGAGAAGAAAGACCCUCAGCCUUACUCGGGAAGGAUCGAAAUACUCCCUGACUUCUCACAUAGGCAACAAGGUUGCCUGCCAGCUCCUGGGACAGCCUGCUGGAAAGCAACCUUCUCUUAGGAGAUGCCUUUAUUUAUGAAGCAGAAGACAGGCCGCGGCACACUGGAGUGGCUUAUGGAACAGGAUUUGUUGUCUUGAAUGU
rnacentral:lncRNA from 1 species